UCUGAUCUGUAAAAUGGGGCUGGAGAGGGGGCAGAUCUUCAAUCUGAUAAUCCCUAAGGAAUAUUAUGUCUCACUCACAAGGGAAGUCGCCACCUUGAGGUCACUGCAAAGAGGGGGAAACUCAGUUUGUUUAUCAUUAACAACAAGCACAUCACAUCUCAGAGCCCAGAUGUGCUGAGCUGUCCCACAUGCCCCCAGUUGCUCCCUAACAUCUCUGGACAUUAUCCUUCCAUUUUACAGAAGUUGAAACUGAAGACCAAGAGAGCAAGACUGCAAGGGAUUACUAUGAGAUCCGUCCUGUACUCCCUCUUCUGGGAACUGCUUGACUCCUACCCCAGCCAUAGGUUCACAUGAUCCAACCCCUUCGCCACAGUUGAGUGAUCCAGUCAUCUCACCCAAGGUGGUCUUUUAUUUGGGUAAGUACCUUUCCUCCAACUGCCGCAAAUACUAAUACGGUACCUUGCCCUCCAUCCCUCCCAAGAGAGAGGCAUAUGACUCAAGUGAAAUCAGACUCUCUCCUGGGAUUGGAACUGUGAGCAGGAUGAUACAGGGAAGGAAGUUGACUGGAGGCAGAUCAUGUGGGUAGCAGUGUCUUAAACAGAAGGUUCAUGAGUCUUGCUACUGAGGUCCCUAGAGCUCCCCUCAUUCCUGUAUUUCCUGAGGCCUCGUCAGUCAGCUCUUCCUUUGGUCGGGUGAAUUUCACAGAUACCCUUCUGUAGUGGGCCAGAUGGUGGCCCCAAACACCUGUCCAUAUUUUAAUCUCUGGAACCCGUAACUAUUACCUUAUUUGGGAAAGGGUCUUUUUGCAAAUGUGGUUAAGUUAAGGAUCCUGAGAUGAGGUCAUCUUGGAUUAUCCUGGUGGGCCUAAAUGUCAUCAAAAGUGUCCUUGUAAGACAGAGGCACUGGAAGACUUGACAUACACAGACACUGAAGUGAGAUCAGAGGCAGAGACUUGAGUGAUGCAGCCACAGCCAAGGAAAGCCAAGAAUGGUGGCAGCCACCACAAACUAGAAGAGAAAAGGAGAGGGUUUCCCCCUGGAGUCUCCAGAGGGAGGGUGGCCCUGCUGACAUCUUGAUUUUGGAUUUCUGGCCUCCAGAACUGUCAGAGAAUACACUUCUACUGUUUUAAGC
rnacentral:lncRNA from 10 species